AAAAAAAAUCCAAGGUGCCUGCUGGAUUUCUCUUAGAAAGAAGAAGAAGAAGAAGAAGAGGACAAAAGAAAAAAAAAGAAAAAGAAAGAGAGCAAAUGUGUCCCCUUUGGCCAUUUUCUGCAGGAAAAGAAAAACAAAGGCCUUCUUUCAACAUGACCUUAGUUGAGGGGCUUGUUCCCAGGAUUCCUCCUUGCCUGGGGCUGCAGGGCAGGGAAAUUGCAUUGCCACUUUAGCGGCUCUCUGUACAUUUUCGCCUGAAUGGCUUUGUCCUUGAACCAAAUGCUGCCUGGUUGUUGGCCAGAGAGGAAGUAGUUUGCCAUUUCUGCAACUCUUGCAGGCUGAUGACUCUCUCUCUCUCUCUCUCUCUCUCUCUCUCUCUCUCUCUCUCAAAAUGAGGGACGGAACUUGCAAAAUCGCAAAACUGGUGGAUUUUUUAUGCAAAUUGGCCUUUCUUCAACUCUAGAAAUAGACUUUUCUAUUUUUAAUUACCUUUGUAAUUUUAUGGAUUCUUUACAUGCAGAAGAGAGCAAAAGUUUCUUUCAAAAACUAAAAGGCAGGCAACAUGUUCAUAUCGUUAUCGUCGCAGCCGUUACCCUUUUCCCCAUUUUUGGCAAGUUAAAAAAAAAGACUUUGCGACAUGGACUAAGUUGAGGGGCUUAUUUUCAGAAUUUCUCCACCCCUGGGGCUCGAGGAUAGGUGAAUUGCAGCCUCGGUAAAGGGGGUCUCCAUGCAUUUUUACCUAAAUUGCCUUAUUCUAGAACCAAAUUCUGCCUGGUUGUUGGCCAGAGAGGAAGUGGACCUGCAUUUCGGCUACUCUUGUAGGCUGAUGACUCUCUCUCUCUCUCUCUCUCUCUCUCUAUAUAUAUAUAUAUAUAUAUCAUAUUGCCCGGACUGGUAUUUUGUGCAAGGUGAUGGUGAUGAAUGCUACAUGAUUGUGACUUUCUGCGGAAAGUCCUUCAGUGUGAUCGACUAUAUAUAUAUAUAUAUGCGAAUGUAAAGUUGAGCUACAAUCAAUAGUAGCAACCACUAAACCUAAACUCUGGACCCUAGACCCUAUUGAUCCAUGGGUCAAAAACUUGGUCGCGGCCGCCACUUUGCUACUAUCAAUAGUAUUUUAGCCCCACAAUAAAUUUAUACAUCUAUAUGAAUUCUCUUUCUCUUAUGUGUUACUCUUUUGGGUAAACUUCAAAUACCACCCCUAUGGUUUCGCACUUUCUCACUUUAGUAACCCUGUGGAUUAAAGUGUAUUAAGUUAGUAUCCUGUGGUUUCAUUUUUCUCUUUUCGCCUGCUCCUCCGUUAACAUUUCGUUAAAUUAUAUACAAAAUAUGCUUUCUUCAAAAUAUUUUUUCCCUUCUUUUCCUUCUUGGAGGCGAUGAUGAUAAACACCGCAUCACUGCAAUUUUGUGAGAAGAUGUGCUAUUCUCAUGCAAUGCCAUUAUUUUUCUCUUUCCAUAUGUGUGCAUGUACGCACACACGUUCAUAUAUAUAUAUAUAUAUAUACACAUCUAUUUCUUGGACCUGGUUCACCACAUUUGUUUACUACCCAAUGAAAUGCUUGAUUCUUUGGCGAUGUUGGCUGGGCAGCUGGAUGGCCUUCAACUUGCAGGCAAUGGCUGCAGCUACAUCUCCAGUGUUAGACUGGUGUAUAUGAUUAAUUUUUCCUUUGGUGUUAAAUCUGAGCCUCCGUCAAUCUUUUGCACUUUUUGCUCUCUCUUGUUGCAUUCACUGGUUCUUUACCACUGAAACUGAGCAAAAGUUAAUCCGCAAAAAAAAAAAAAAAAAAAUUCAAGGUGCCUACUGGAUUUCUCUUAGAAAGAAGAAGAAGAAGAGGACAAAAGAGAAAAAAAGAGAGCAAAUGUGUUCCCUUUGGCCAUUUUCUGCAGGAAAAGAAAAACAAAGGUCUUCUUUUAACAUGACUUUAGUUGAGGGGCUUUUUCCCAGGAUUCCUCCAUGCCUGGGGCUGCAGGGCAGGGAAAUUGCAUUGCCACUUUAGCGGCUCUCUGUACAUUUUCGCCUGAAUUGCUUUGUCCUCUAACCAAAUGUUGCCUGGUUGUUGGCCAGAGAGGAAGUAGUUUGCAAUUUCUGCAACUCGUGUAGGCUGAUGACUCUCUCUCUCUCUCUCUCUCAAAAGAGGGACCGAACUUGCAAAAUCUCAAAACUGGUGGAUUUUUUAUGCAAAUUGGCCUUUCUUAAACUUUAGAAAUAGAAUUUUCUAUUUUUACUUACCUUUGUAAUUUUAUGGAUUCUUUACAUGCAGAAGAGAGCAGAAGUUUUUUCAAAAACUAAAGGCAGGGAACAUGUCCGUAUCGUUAUUGUUGCUGCUGUUACCCUUUUGGCCAUUUUUGGCAAGUUGAAAAAAAAGACUUUGCGACAUGGCCAUAGUUGAGGGGCUUUUUCAGAAUUUCUCCACCCCUGGGGCUUGAGGAUAGGUGAAUUGCAGCCCCGGUAAAGGGGGUCUCCAUGCAUUUUUACCUAAAUUGCCUUAUUCUAGAACAAAUUCUACCUGGUUUUUGGCCAGAGAGGAAGUAGACCGGCAUUUCUGCUACUCUUUUAGGCUGAUGACUCUCUCUCUCUCUCUCUCUCUCUCUCUCUCUCUCUCUCUCUAUAUAUAUAUAUAUAUAUAUAUAUGGGUUAAUUUCAUACAGCUCCCUGCAAAUAAUAUCUCUCUCUCUCCCUCUCAUACUGCCUGGACUGGUAUUUUGUGCAAGGUGAUGGCAAUGAAUUCCACAUGAUUGUGAC
rnacentral:lncRNA from 1 species